CACCCGUUCCUGGCAUCCUAUCGGGACUCCUUAAGCCGCACUGUGGCCACGUUGAAAAAUACUUGAAAGGAGACUAAACCACUAAUAAAACUGGCCCUGUUUUACCAAACUGACGUGCCCCCUGCGUGCUGAGUUCUGCCAAGCGUGGAGGCAAAGGGAACACUCUUUGUGCUUCUUGGGAUUAUUCCAUCCCCAAUUCCUGGGGUCAACUGACAAAGAGUAUGCCAGAAGGGAGAGGCAAUAGGGUCUAUAGCCAUCUUCGUAUUCCUGUACAUACUGCACAGACAGGUAACAAAUCUGCCGCUGGAAGGAUCGGGACACGUCCUGGCUCCAGGGCAAGGUUCUCACCCAUUGAUGCUCCUCCCCCUCAAGCUGUCCAGCAGGAGGCGUGGAUGGCCACGGCUGAGUAACCCUCCAUCUUCCAAAUCAUUGGGGGGUCGUCAUCUUGCACUCUCUUGUACCACAUCCCCUUCUGAAGUAUGAGGCCUUUCCUUAGGGCCUUGGUCUACGCCCGGUGGUUUUUCGGGGCGAUUCGAUGAGGGACCUAGCUAAGGUGUUAAACACCCCACCUGGGAAGUACGGUCGCAAGGCUGAAACUCAAAGGAAUUGAUGGGGGCCCUGCACAAGCGGUGGAGCAUGUGGCUUAAUUUGAUAGAACGCGCAAAACCUUACCAGCCCUUGACAUAUGAAAGAAACUCCUCGUAAGAGAUGUACUUUGACUUCAUACAGGUACUGCAUGGCAUUGGCUGCCGUCAGCUCGUGUCGUGAGAUGUUGGGUUAAGUCCUAUAACGAGCGCAACCCUCGUUUUGGGUUGCUAAGACAUCGCAACGACGUGCUGCAUGCAAAAAAAACUGCCAGUGAUGUACUGGAUUAAGGUGGGGAUGACGUCAAGUCCGCAUGGCCCUUGUGGGCUGGGCUACAUAUGUGCUACAAUGGCGAUGACAACAGGAAACAAGGCUUUUACGAGGAGCGAAUCCUGAAACAUUGCCCAGUUUGGGUUGUUCUUUGCAACUUGAGAACAUGAAGUUGGAAUCGCUAGUAAUCGCGGAUCAGCAUGCCGCUGUGUAUAUGUACUCAGGCCUUGAACACACCGGCCGUCAACCCAUGGGAAUUUCUUUUGCCCGAAAUCGUCUCUAUGAUAAACCAAUUAACAACAAAAAGCUAGUAAACAUCAGAAAGAUGGGUAUCAGCAUAGAAAGAUGUAUUGAUGUACC
rnacentral:rRNA from 1 species